CGGGGCGGGGCGGGGGCUGCGGCCACCGGAGCGGCGGGGCCAGGUGCCCGGGACCGCGCCGUCGGGCUGCUCCGAGCCAACGCGCUCGGACGCCUUAAUUAUUCGACUUUUCCCCCUCUUUAAGCACCGCGCAGGCACGGCGCGGCUCCGCGAUGCCCACAGGUGCGGGGCCGCGGCCCCUGGACGGCGCUGCCGCCUCCCCCCGGCGGCUGCGCUGCUCCGUCCCCGAGAAGAACCUGCGGCCCCGAUAGAAAUGUUGGUGAAAUUUCAACUUAUUCAAAAUCAAAGGCAGAGCUCUGUCUUCAGUGGGGCAAAGGGCUGACGGAGAGAAUCUGCAAAGCUUUUCUCUCUUCCAGAGCUUGAUGCAAGAAGAACUUUGAAACAUUUGGUAGAGCCACAUGUGACUGGUCAAAAUAUUCACCCUAAGCACACAAAACACGAGCAUUAAGAUUUGCUGGAGACGGGACUUGGUUGCAGCACAACACAGCUUUAUCAGAACUUGAGAGACUCUUCCAAUGGAAGCUUUUCUAUCAGCACAAUCACUUUGAAGACCUUAAUCCAAAUUUCUGCAAUAAAUAAAAGUCAAGAUUGGUGUUUUAUAACCAGUUCCUCAGUGAAAGGAUGCUGCAUGACAUCAAGUAGAACACAAAUUACCAGACCUGCUUAACUGUAAGAAUGAGAUUGCCUCUCUUCCUGUUGAUGCAUUCUCCUGAUCUGGACUCCAGGAUGCCAGCAGAACUGAGGGACACGUCUUGUCAGGCACUGGGAUGCGGAUUUGCCUCUCACUGAGGUGCUGCUGGCUGAUUCACUGCCUGGUAGAGGGUGUCUUUAAGACCUGAUUUAACCUGAGGCAUGUGCUUUCUCAGGAGGUCUGUAGCAGAGUGAAGAAUUGCAAAUGUUGCAUCCAUUCCUUUCUGUCAUCUGCUUCCAUACACAACUGCAGUGCCUGCACUGUGCUCUGCUGUCACCCUGAAGUGCUCCUUGUGAUGGAGGUUUGUACUGAGCUGGUACAGAGAGGACUUCGCUUUUGUGGCAGUAUCCCUUGUUGCUGUCUCAUUCACAGAGAUGUUUUUUCUUUUCCUUUAUUCCACUGGGACCAGCUGCUCUACAUACAGGAACCAAAAGUGGCAAGUCUUCUGUAUCCUCGUACAAUUUUCAACUGAAGGUCUACAUCACUUGAACUUUUGGGGUUUUUUUUGGAGAGAGAAAGCUUUUUCUAAAAAAAAAAAUCCAUUUUGAACUGGAGUUGGAGAAACAACUGCAUUUUGUGGCUGAUAAGUACAUGGGAAUACAAAAUAUUUCUAUUCCGUCCGGUCCUGCACAUCCAUUCCCUGUACCUGUAACUGUUAGGUGUGAGUGUAGACCCAGAGAUGGGCAGGACUAGUUUGGCAUGCAAAUAUUUAUCUGAUGACCCCGUCCUAUUUUCUAGAACCAAAGAUUUCAUUGUGAUAACAUGGACAUCUUAAAGCCUUGUAGGAGGCACGGGGAUGUAACUUAACCUGAGUUUGGAUUAGGCAUAUCUCAUAUCUUAUUUACUUUGCCGAUAAAAAAGUAUGUGAUCAGUGGAAAUAUGACUUUCUUAAUCUGUAACUACAAAAAACCCCUCAGUCUUGAAAAUCCAGCACUCUUUCAAAUCAUCUUAAGGCAUACUGACCCUGAAUCAUCACAGUGAGAUUCAACAGCAAUGUUCCUGUUAGUGGUUUAAGAACAUAGAUGUAGUUGAAUACAUGGAAAACUGUAUCUUGUUCCAGUUAUCUUUAUUACUGUAAUAAAUGAUACUAACUCUCUCUACAGACCUUAUCUUAUCUGUCUAUAGUGUUCCAUUUAUUUUAUUUUGAACUGGGAAGCCAUGCAUACCUGGAUACUGUAGACUGUAAAAGGCUUUAUGUGUAUACCAUUUGAAGAUAAUUGCUUAUGCUCUAGUUACUAGUUUGAAUGAAGAAAAGAUACUCAUAUUUUAUACUCUUGAAAGCAAUAGCAGAUUUUCUGUAAUAUACCAGUUCAGAGUAAUUUUCUCAUAAACUACCAGUUCCAGAAAACUCCCAAAUCUUUUGUACCUAUUUUCUUUAAUAUGGAGGAAUUCCUUAAUAUCCUCCAAAAGCUGCUCACCAAUCUGUAGGGUUUGAAGGCUUUGCUUUGGUUCAUUUUUUUGAAACUUCGUAAAAAAUUGUGAGUGAGAUAAAUUCAGAUGUUGCUCAACAUGGUCACUACUCAUAACAGUUUGUUUUCAAAAUUGGAAAAUAAAAGCUAUUCUAAGUAGCCACUGUUGUUUUCAACUCUAUGGAAUACUUCAAAUGUAAGUUUUAAAGAAAAAAAAAAAGAAAACCAGUCCUUUGCUAGUGCUGAUACAGGAAUGACAGAGGUUAAUACCACUGACAUCAUGUUGGAACUAUAUAGCAUUUUGUUAAUGGUUAUUAAUGCCCUGCUGCUGGGAGACAGACAGUGCCAGCUGCCAGUAUGUGUGGUGCCGCUCUGCGGGUGUGCCUAGCCCUCUGUUUGGAAAGGAGAGGGGCGUGAGGAGGGUUUGAGUCUGCUCCCCACCUAAUCAUUCCUCCACU